UCAGGAUGAACGCUGGCGGCGUGCUUAACACAUGCAAGUCGAACGAUGAUGCCCACUUGUGGGUGGAUUAGUGGCGAACGGGUGAGUAACACGUGAGUAACCUGCCCUUGACUCUGGGAUAAGCCUGGGAAACUGGGUCUAAUACCGGAUAUGACCUUCCAUCGCAUGGUGGUUGGUGGAAAGCUUUUGUGGUUUUGGAUGGACUCGCGGCCUAUCAGCUUGUUGGUGGGGUAAUGGCCUACCAAGGCGACGACGGGUAGCCGGCCUGAGAGGGUGACCGGCCACACUGGGACUGAGACACGGCCCAGACUCCUACGGGAGGCAGCAGUGGGGAAUAUUGCACAAUGGGCGCAAGCCUGAUGCAGCGACGCCGCGUGAGGGAUGACGGCCUUCGGGUUGUAAACCUCUUUCAGUAGGGAAGAAGCGAAAGUGACGGUACCU
rnacentral:rRNA from 1 species